UCGGGACCGGCACUUCGCAGGGUGUGCCCAUGAUCGGUUGCGAUUGCGACGUUUGCCAUUCGUCUGACCCGCGCGAUCAGCGACUGCGCUCGUCGAUUUAUGUCGAGACGCCGGAGUGCGCCUGGGUGGUCGAUACUGGAACAGAUUUUCGAACGCAGGCUCUGCGCGAAAAUAUUCGGCGACUCGACGCGGUCGUCUUCACGCAUUCCCACACGGACCACAUCAUGGGGUUCGACGAUCUUCGGCGUUAUUCGUACAACCUGGGCUCGAUCCCGGUUUACGCCUCCGCAGAAACGAUGCGCGAUCUCGCGCGCGUUUAUGAAUUCGCCUUCAACGGCCUCAAUCGCUUUC
rnacentral:misc_RNA from 1 species